AUUGUACUUCCUCCGUCCGGAAAUACUUGUCCUAGAAAUGUACAAAAUGGAUGUAUCUAUAACUAAAAUAAGUCUAGAUACAUCUAUUUUGUAGGACAAGUAUUUCCGUACGGAGGGAGUAAUUG
rfam:Hordeum vulgare subsp. vulgare, WGS project CAJW01000000 data, contig: morex_contig_138544